UCGAGAAUCUUUCACAAUGGGGGAAACCCUGAUGGAGCGACGCCGCGUGGAGGAUAAGGUCUUCGGAUUGUAAACUCCUGUCAUGCGAGAGCAAGACCUGCCGGGUAACUCCUGCAGGUUUGAUAGUAUCGCAAGAGGAAGAGACGGCUAACUCUGUGCCAGCAGCCGCGGUAAUACAGAGGUCUCAAGCGUUGUUCGGAAUCACUGGGCGUAAAGGGUGCGUAGGUGGCGUGGAAAGUCAGAUGUGAAAUCCGGGGGCUCAACCCCCGAAUUGCAUCCGAUACUCCCAUGCUAGAGAACUGGAGGGGAGUCUGGAAUUCUCGGUGUAGCAGUGAAAUGCGUAGAUAUCGAGAGGAACACUAGUGGCGAAGGCGAGACUCUGGACAGUUUCUGACACUGAUGCACGAAGGCCAGGGUAGCGAACGG
rnacentral:rRNA from 1 species